ensembl:lncRNA
UUUUGGGCAAUGACCUUCUUAGGACCUGACUAAAAAGGAGUAAAAAUUUGCAUGUUAAAUUAUAGCUCCAUGACACAUUUGGAACAGAGGGCAAAUAUGCAACAAUACCCAUCCCCUCUUAUCAAAGUAACAGGUUACAUGUCUCUGUCUCUUGCCUAGUUAUCUUGAGGAAUUCAAAGGGAAGAAUCUCAAUAGAUCACCGCAAGAUAGCUACAGAGAUGCAGUGGGUUGCAGACGCUGAAAAGGAAGUCAUCCUGGACUUAUAAAAAGUAAAGCUUAGAGACAAUAAGAAUUAAAGAACGACAUUCACAUUUGUCAAAUGUAAGGACAAAACCUCAACCUCAAGACCUGGCAAGGAAAGGUACUAAGAGGAGAACCUUCGAGGAUGUGGCGUAAUAAUUUACACACUGACAUUUAAAAUGUGAGCUCUGAGAUCAAUACAGGAAAAUUAGAAUAUCAUAAUUACCUCCUUGGUUCCCUACCAGACCCCCAAGAGGUAGGUAAAGCCAACUUCUAUUCUACCCACUCUAGAGCUGGGACAACUGGGGCUCAAAGAGAUGAAGUAACACUUGUCCAGAAGCAACUAUCUAGAGUUAAGUGUUGGAGCCAGGAUCAAACCGAGGUCUAAAGACGCCACAUCCAUGCUAGUGCACCAUACCAGUGAGUGUUCUACUUGGCUGGACAAAUGCCUACUGUAUCUCUUUAUCCUCUUCCUCUGUCAUUGUGCAAAUUAAAUAGUCCUAACAGUAUCAUUUUUUUUUUCUUUUCUCCUUUUUCUGGAUUUUAUUUUAUCCUUUUAAAUGACUUUUAUUUUUUCCAUGAUAGCUGGUUUAGAGUGUUCUGUCAAUUUUCUACUGUACAGCAAAGUGAACCAGUCACACAUACCUACAUACAUUUCUUCAAGUCUUUUUCUCUGAUUUUAUUUCUUUGUUAUUUUAUUUUACUUUAUUUUAUUUUUGGUUUUUAGGGUUGCACCAAGGCAUAUGGAAGUUCCCAGGCAAGGGGUCAAAUUGGAGCAACAGCUUCUGGCCUACACCCCAGUCACAGCAA